AUGCCUCAUUCUGUACCUAUAUGCUGCCAGCCAACCCCAAGCCCCAGUAGUGCUUUCUAUCCUCUGACACCAUGCCCAGCCAUCUAGAUCAGAGACCCUUCCUCUGAGUUCCCAUCUCUCCUCGUCUGCCCUGUUCCUUCUGCGACCCAGUGCAAUGCCCAUGUGUAAUGUCACACACCUGCUUUCAUCUGUCUGCCCUGGAUCCACUUGGGCUUCUACGUAUCCCAUCAGGGCACACUGUGAAAGCUAUCGACACCACUUCCAGAUUGCAGACCUCUGACCUGUCACCAGUCUGUCAGUGUCAGUAAGGCCAGGUAGAGGACACAGGCCAGCAGUCCAACGAGGAAGCUUCCAGCCUGUGCCCAGGGCGCAGUCUCCAGCCUGGGAUUCUUCACCUCUCAGCCACCCUUUCAGCACUAUUUAAAGGCCCUGGGGAAAGAAGGAGGGAAAAUGGAGAAGAGAGUCAGGGAGAAAGAAGAGAAAGAGAGAAAGAAGACUGAUAGCUCAAAGUUGAAAGAGAUUCAGGCCAAUUCUCUGCUCAAUGGGCUCUGGAUGACCCUCUCCUCUGGAUGGGACAACCUGCACUUUCCCAUACCCCCAAGACAUCUGGAUUUGAUGCCUCUGAGAUUGGCCCACCUCCACCAGGUCCCUGACUCUGUUUGUCCAGACUUUGCCUCCUGAUGCUCCUGCAACAUCCUCAGAAGAUCCCUUCACCUAAACUUUUGUCCUGUUUGCUUGGCUGGCCCUUGGUCGUCUGAGGUGGCAAAUGUAGGAUUUAUGAUUAUAGACUCUGGAAACAACUGAUGAGCUUCAAUCCCAGCUCCACUAGUUCCUAACUGUGAUACCAAGCCAGUUUCUGAAGCUCUUUUUGUAUCUCAUUUUCCUCAUCUGUACAAUGAGGCUGUUGAGAUAAAAUGAGUUAUCACGUGUAGCACCCUGCCACCAACUCAAUAAAUAUUAACUUUUGCUAUUAUCUGA